rnacentral:ncRNA from 1 species
AAACCUCACCCGGCCCGGACACGGACAGGAUUGACAGAUUGAUAGCUCUUUAUCGAUUCCGUGGGUGGUGGUGCAUGGCCGUUCUUAGUUGGUGGAGCGAUUUGUCUGGUUAAUUCCGAUAACGAACGAGACUCUGGCAUGCUAACUAGUUACGCGACCCCCGAGCGGUCGGCGUCCCCCAACUUCUUAGAGGGACAAGUGGCGUUCAGCCACCCGAGAUUGAGCAAUAACAGGUCUGUGAUGCCCUUAGAUGUCCGGG